UACGAAGGGUGCAAGCGUUACUCGGAAUUACUGGGCGUAAAGCGUGCGUAGGUGGUUUGUUAAGUCUGUUGUGAAAGCCCCGGGCUCAACCUGGGAAUGGCAAUGGAUACUGGCAAGCUAGAGUGCGGUAGAGGGUAGUGGAAUUCCCGGUGUAGCGGUGAAAUGCGUAGAGAUCGGGGAGGAACACCGGGUGGCGAAGGCGGGGUCUCUGGACAGUUCCUGACGCUGAGGCACGAAGGCCAGGGGGAGCAAAACGGGG
rnacentral:rRNA from 1 species